rnacentral:rRNA from 1 species
UACGGAGGGUGCGAGCGUUUGUCCGGAAUCACUGGGCGUAAAGGGCGCGUAGGCGGCGCGGGAAGUCCGUGGUGAAAGCCCGAGGCUCAACUUCGGGUCGGCCAUGGAUACUCCUGGGCUUGAGCACUGUAGAGGCAGGUGGAAUUCCGGGUGUAGCGGUGGAAUGCGUAGAGAUCCGGAAGAACACCGGUGGCGAAGGCGGCCUGCUGGGCAGUAGCUGACGCUGAGGCGCGACAGCGUGGGGAGCAAACAGG